rnacentral:rRNA from 1 species
AUUGAACGCUGGCGGCAGGCCUAACACAUGCAAGUCGAGCGAGCGGCGGACGGGUGAGUAAUGUCUGGGAACCUGCCUGAUGGGGGGGGAUAACUACUGGAAACGGUAGCUAAUACCGCAUACCAUCAGAUGUGCCCAGAUGGGAUUAGCUAGUAGGUGGGGUAACGGCUCACCUAGGGGACGAUCCCUGCCUGGUCUGAGAGUAUGACCAGCCACACUGGAACUGAGACACGGUCCAGACUCCUACGGGAGGCAGCAGUGGGGAAUAUUGCACAAUGGGCGCAAGCCUGAUGCAGCCAUGCCGCGUGUGUGAAGAAGGCCUUCGGGUUGUAAAGCACUUUCAGCGGGGAGGCGUUACCCGCAGAAGAAGCACCGGCUAACUCCGUGCCAGCAGCCGCGGUAUAC